GACGAACGCUGGCGGCGUGCUUAACACAUGCAAGUCGAACGGAAAGGCCCUGCUUUUGUGGGGUGCUCGAGUGGCGAACGGGUGAGUAACACGUGAGUAACCUGCCCUUGACUUUGGGAUAACUUCAGGAAACUGGGGCUAAUACCGGAUAGGAGCUCCUGCUGCAUGGUGGGGGUUGGAAAGUUUCGGCGGUUGGGGAUGGACUCGCGGCUUAUCAGCUUGUUGGUGGGGUAGUGGCUUACCAAGGCUUUGACGGGUAGCCGGCCUGAGAGGGUGACCGGCCACAUUGGGACUGAGAUACGGCCCAGACUCCUACGGGAGGCAGCAGUAGGGAAUAUUGCGCAAUGGGCGGAAGCCUGAUGCAGCAACGCCGCGUGCGGGAUGACGGCCUUCGGGUUGUAAACCGCUUUCGCCUGUGACGAAGCGUGAGUGACGGUAAUAGGUAAAGAAGCACCGGCUAACUACGUG
rnacentral:rRNA from 1 species